GACGAACGCUAGCGACAGGCUUAACACAUGCAAGUCGAGGGGCAGCAUAGAAGUAGCAAUACUUUGGUGGCGACCGGCGCACGGGUGAGUAACGCGUAUGCAACCUACCUAUCAGAGGGGAAUAACCCGGCGAAAGUCGGACUAAUACCGCAUAAAACAGGGGCACCGCAUGGUGAUAUUUGUUAAAGAAAUUCGCUGAUAGAUGGGCAUGCGUUCCAUUAGGUAGUUGGUGAGGUAACGGCUCACCAAGCCGACGAUAGAUAGGGGAACUGAGAGGUUGGUCCCCCACACUGGUACUGAGACACGGACCAGACUCCUACGGGAGGCAGCAGUGAGGAAUAUUGGUCAAUGGGCGAGAGCCUGAACCAGCCAAGUCGCGUGAAGGAAGAAGGAUCUAUGGUUCGUAAACUUCUUUUGCAGGGGAAUAAAGUGCGGGACGUGUCCUGUUUUGUAUGUACCCUGAGAAUAAGGAUCGGCUAACUCCGUGCCAGCAGCCGCCGUAACAC
rnacentral:rRNA from 1 species